UCACCCCUCGAGCCCCUGUGGCUUGGCUUUGGACGGCCUGGUCAGGCAACUGACCCCUCCUAAAGACAAUGACGGCGGCCUCGCAGGACCCCCGGUACACUGAGCUUCUUAACUGAGCACGUAUCGGAUCGAGGGUUCUCGGGGCACGGUCUCCUUUCCCCCCUCCCCUCCCCGGGGCGGUGGGAAAACAAAUCUUUCUCA
rnacentral:misc_RNA from 1 species